rnacentral:rRNA from 1 species
UUACCUCAGUAACGGCGAGUGAAGCGGUAACAGCUCAAAUUUGAAAUCUGGCCUCACGGUCCGAGUUGUAAUUUGUAGAGGAUGCUUCGAGCAUGGUCUGGCCUAAGUUCCUUGGAACAGGACGUCAUAGAGGGUGAGAAUCCCGUAUGCGGUCAGGUGCCUACGCUCAUGUGAAGCUCCUUCGACGAGUCGAGUUGUUUGGGAAUGCAGCUCAAAAUGGGUGGUAAAUUUCAUCUAAAGCUAAAUAUUGGCCAGAGACCGAUAGCGCACAAGUAGAGUGAUCGAAAGAUGAAAAGCACUUUGGAAAGAGAGUUAAACAGUACGUGAAAUUGUUGAAAGGGAAGCGCUUGCAACCAGACUUGCGCGCGGCCGAUCAUCCGGUGUUCUCACCGGUGCACUCGGCCGUGCUCAGGCCAGCAUCGGUUUUGGCGGCUGGAUAAAGGCCCCAGGAAUGUGGCUCCUCUCGGGGAGUGUUAUAGCCUGGGGUGCAAUGCAGCCUGCUGGGACCGAGGACCGCGCUUCGGCUAGGAUGCUGGCGUAAUGGUUGUAAGCGGCCCGUCUUGAAACACGGACCAAGGAGUCUAACAUCUAUGCGAGUGUUUGGGUGUCAAACCCAUACGCGUAAUGAAAGUGAACGGAGGUGAGAACCCUUAAGGGUGCAUCAUCGACCGAUCCUGAUGUCUUCGGAAGGAUUUGAGUAAGAGCAUAGCUGUUGGGACCCGAAAGAUGGUGAACUAUGCCUGAAUAGGGUGAAGCCAGAGGAAACUCUGGUGGAGGCUCGCAGCGGUUCUGACGUGCAAAUCGAUCGUCAAAUUUGGGUAUAGGGGCGAAAGACUAAUCGAACCAUCUAGUAGCUGGUUCCUGCCGA